GUAAACAUGAGUAUGUUCUAUCACUGAGCUUGGCUCUAGAAAACCUUUUUAUGUAUUAAAGCUCAUAAUGACAACAAUGACUGCUAGACUGAUAAAGCAGCAUGUGGAGGACACAGAUGUUAUCAUAACUUCUUAAUGUGUCAGUCACCAUUUUAUAGCCACUAGAAAGGCACACCAUGAUAUAUACUUUUAUACUGAGAGUUUGGGCUAUUUGCUGUAUGUUGAUUGCACCACCAAGUCAAUGGCUAAAGCCCCAAACUGAUCAUGUUUCUCACUCCUUAAACAUCUCCAGUGACCCCCGCCCCCACCAUUGCCCAAAGGACCGGGCCCACGCUUGGCAGGCAAAACCAUUGCUAAUGUGAUCCAAACAAACUUUUCAGCAGCUUCAUGGCCUGCCUCCCCAACCCUCUCCCUCCUUUCACCGCAUCUAUGCCCAGGAGAAUGGAUUUCACCACUUCCUGAACAUAUCCUGCUCCCUCAUGCUUCUGAGCCUCUGCUUUUACCCUUCUUAUUUUGUUUCUCUGGAGAACAUUCUUCCACAUUCUUCAACAUCCAGCAUUAAUACAUCUCUGUGAAUUAUUCCCCAAUUCCUUCAGGCAGACCUGUGUGUACCGUCUUUUUGCUAAUGGGAAGAGAGUUUUACCUGCCUAUAUUAACUUACUUGCAACAUUCUGUUGAAUACAGAGGCAUCGGUCUACAUUACUGGCCUGGGAAUGAACUCUCCAGUUUCUUCAACUGAUACAUGGGAGUAAUAGUAACCUUAUAGGGCUGUUGAGAGGAUUAGACAUGAAAGUGUGCUACUGAGCAGUGCCAGACACAAAUAAUCGCCCAAUGAAUGAUAACUGUAAUUAUUGGAUCAAAGUGUCCAUGUUCUCUUGACAGACCCCUCUACGUCUAGUAACUCAUGGCUGUGAGACAAACAUCUUGAACAGAGAUUCUAUUGGUGUGGAACCAAUCCGUUUGAGAGUCAGACCAUUGACCUUGAUCCUGUUGGCACCAUGCCCAGCCUAAUUGUAUUUGAAGAUCAGAGGUCAGAUGGGCAUUGCGUAGAACUUCAGAGAAGAGAAACCCCAGCUGCCUACUCUUACAAGCCACAAGCAUGAAAACAGAUCCUUGUGUGUUUACAUUCUGUUUGGACACAGAAGCCGGCUCAGGAUAUCUCAGCUCUAAUCCCGGUUUUCUGGCUCACUAGCGGUGUCACCUUGGGAUGAGAGUUCUCUUUGGAACUCGGUUGCCAUGGGGACUUUGAUUUGCCUGUUUCUAACAUCUUUGAGCUUCAGAUGUGAUUCUAGACCCCCUCCUUGGCAGUCUCAACUGUCUGAAACAGCCACGAACUGGAAAGUAAGCAAAGAUUGGCACGUGUUGGUAUUGCAAAGUUUGGUGCUAGAGCAUGCCUACUUUAUCUUUAGCAGAGCGCCUAAGUCCUCACCUCGAACUCAUUUACUCUGCUUUCCACUCAAGUUUAAGAAGCCUGUAUCUGACUUUCCAUGUCAGUAGGGUGGGGGUACACAUAGCACUUGAGAGGCUGCUACAGUUAGGCGUGCCGACAAGCAUAAAAGUUCAACGUCAUUCAAUUCAAUUCCAUGCAGCUGAGCUGAAGAUUCACAGACUUUCAUCAAUGUCAUCAAGGAAUGACACUGACAAGCCUGAUUCUGAAGAGAGAAGCAGAAAAACUAUAAAAGUGCAGCCAUGUGGGCCAUUUAGUGUAGAAAUAAAUAGCUCCUCUCGUGGCAAUGAGUUCUUCAGGAGUGGACAUUGGCCCUGGAGUCAGAAGACUGGGAUGGGAGUGUCAGUUCUUUUUCUUACUAAGUGUGUGAUUUUGCUUGAGUCAUGGAAACAGAGGAGCUCCAGGUUUCUUCUCUAUAAAAUGGAAACAAUCGUACCUAGGAUAGCUUCCCUUUACUGAUAUGUGCUGCCAUUAGCCUGUUCGAUUCUCUCAGCAACCUGAGAAUUACAUUUCAUUCUGUAUGUGAGGACACCAAGGCCUAAAGAGAUUAUUGUCUGCCCAAUGUCAAAUAAGUAAGAAAACCCAUCUCUAUAUCUAUUUAUACAUGGAGGGAUUGAAACUGUAAAGGUUUUAUAAACAUGUAUUAGAAUAUAGCAUGAUAAUUAAUAUUCA